UACGAAGGGGGCUAGCGUUGCUCGGAAUCACUGGGCGUAAAGGGUGCGUAGGCGGCGCGGUAAGUCGGGUGUGAAAUCUCGGAGCUUAACUCCGAAACUGCAUUCGAUACUGCCGUGCUUGAGGACUGGAGAGGAGACUGGAAUUUACGGUGUAGCGGUGAAAUGCGUAGAUAUCGUAAGGAAGACCAGUGGCGAAGGCGGGUCUCUGGGCAGUAACUGACGCUGAGGAGCGAAAGCGUGGGGAGCGAACAGG
rnacentral:rRNA from 1 species